AGCGAACGCUGGCGGCAUGCCUAACACAUGCAAGUCGAACGAAGCCUUCGGGCUUAGUGGCGCACGGGUGCGUAACGCGUGGGAAUCUGCCCUUGGGUUCGGAAUAACAGUUAGAAAUGACUGCUAAUACCGGAUGAUGUCUUCGGACCAAAGAUUUAUCGCCCAAGGAUGAGCCCGCGUAGGAUUAGGUAGUUGGUGGGGUAAUGGCCCACCAAGCCGACGAUCCUUAGCUGGUCUGAGAGGAUGAUCAGCCACACUGGGACUGAGACACGGCCCAGACUCCUACGGGAGGCAGCAGUAGGGAAUAUUGGACAAUGGGCGAAAGCCUGAUCCAGCAAUGCCGCGUGAGUGAUGAAGGCCUUAGGGUUGUAAAGCUCUUUUACCAGGGAUGAUAAUGACAGUACCUGGAGAAUAAGCUCCGGCUAACUCCGUGCCAGCAGCCGCCGUAA
rnacentral:rRNA from 1 species